CACUUGCUGGGGCCAAACAAAGCAUAUCCAAACCACAGCACCUGGGGAGAUGUUUUCACAACUGAUCUGGGAAAAGAGUGCUCUCUCCUCACUGGUGCAGAGGCAUGAGGACGUGUGCCGUGAGUAGAGGACAGCCGUGUUCCUGUCAUCUGAAGAAACCUACCUGCAGCUGCAGAGAAGGAAUAUCAGAAAUAAAAGUAGAGACGGGGUUCCGCCAUGUUGGGCAGGCUGCUCUCCCGACCUCAGGUGAUCCGCCCGCCUCAGCCUCCCAAAGUGCUGGGAUUACAGGCGUCAGCCACUGCGCCAGGCCGAGAAUCUGCAUGUUUAACAAGCUCCCAGGAGAAGCUGAAGCUGCUGAUCCUGGGACCGCACUUUGAGAACCACGGUUCCGAGGCUUUGAAGAACAAGCUGCCCUGAAUCCUACAGCUACAAGGAAAUGAACUCUGUUAACUUGAGUGAGCUUAAAACUAGAUCCUUCCCCAGUCAAGCCUCCAGGUAAGAAUUCAAUCCUGGCUGGCACCUGGAUUGCAGCUUACAGAGGACCCAGCUAAGGCCAUGUCUGGACUUUAAAUCCACAGGAACUAUGAGAAUCUGAACAUUGAAUCUGACCCUUCUGAGAGGACACUACACCACUAGAGGGAAUCAAACAGAAGAUGCAAAAUUUCUGCUCUCAGUUCUACGGAGCCUCACUGUUGCCAGGCUAGAGUGCAAUGGUGCAAUCUCAGCUCACUGCAAUUUCCUCCUCCUGGGUUCAAGCGAUUCUCCUGUCUCAGCCUUCCGAGUAACUGGGAUUACAGGCAUGUGACACCAUGCCUGGCUCAUUUUUUUGUAUUUUUAGUGAAGACGGGGUUUCACUGUGUUAGCCAGGAUGGUCUUGAUCUCCUGACCUAGUGAACCACCCACCUGGGCCUCCCAAAGUGCUGGGAUUACAGGCAUGGGCCACUGCGCCCGGUCCUCUCUUUCUGCUUUUAAUCGUGAACAUUGUAUAGUGACUUUUUAAAAAGUAGAUUAAAUUCAUGUGUACUGAAAUGUACAGGUUUUUAGCAUACAAUUUGCUGUUUUGAUGAAUUUACACGCCAGGGUAACCACUAUUCCUGUGAGGAUGGAAGAUUUUCAUCACCUCAGAAUGUUCCUUCAUGCUGUCUUCCCAUUAAGUCCCUAUUCCCUUUAGGCAAAAACUUCUAAUUUUCAACUUCAUAAGUUAAUUCAUUUUACUUGUUCUUGAGUUUUACAUGAAUGGAAUCAUACAGUAUGAAUUUUAUAUCUGUUUGUUUCAUACAACAUAAUAUUUUGGGGGUUUAUCCUGUUGCAACAUUGCUAUGGUUUGAAUGGGUCCCCUCCAAAAUUCAAGUGUUGAAACAUAAUGGUCAUUGUGAUAGUAUUAAGAGAUGGGGCCUUUAGGAGGUAAUUAGGUCAUGAGGUUAAUUCCUUAUAAGGACUAUAAGGGUCCUUAUAAAAAAGGCUUCACAUGGUAUUUCUUUGGUGCUCUUACCCUUUUGCCUUUCAUUACGUGAGGACACAGUGUUCUUCCCUCCAACUGUGAAGCAAAGAUCAGCAUGCGCCAGACAACUAAAGCUGCCAGUGCCUUGUUCUUCGAUGCCCAGCCUCCAGAACAGUGAGAGAUACAUUUCUGUUCUUUAUAAAUUACCUGGUGUCAGGUAUUUUGUUAUAGCAGCCUGACUGGACUAAGACAAAUAUAUAUUAUAUAGUUCAUUAUUUCUUACUGAAUACAUUUCAGUGUGUGAAUUUGUCUUCUGCAUUCUCAAGAUGAUUGACUUUUGCUUCUAUAUAAGUCUAGGAUCUAUAUCAGAUUUUAAAAGCUUUGAUACGAUUUUAAAUGUAUAGAAAAAUGGAAGAUAGCACAAAGAAAUCUCAUAUUUUUAAAUCAAAUUCAGCAGUUGUAGAGAAAAGGGAACCCUUGCACAUUGUUGGUGGGAAGGUAAAAACUAGCACAGUCAUUAUGGAAAACAGUAUGGAAGUUCCUCAAAAUACGAAAAAUAGAACUAUCGUAUGAUCCAGAAAUCCCACUCAUGAGUGCAUCUGUAAAGGAAAUGAAAUUAGUAUGUUGGAGAGAUAUCUGCUCUCCCAUGUUCAUUGCAGCACUCUUCACAGUAACCAGAAUAUGGAAUCAACCUAAAUGUUCAAUUGAUGAAAGGAUAAAGAAAACGUGUUAUAUAUACACAGAGAAAUACUACUCAGCCUUUAAAAAAAGGCUUGUCAUUUGAGACAAGAUGGGUGAACCUGGAGGACAUCAUGUUAAUAAAAUAAGCCAUCAUGUUAAUGAAAUAAGCCAGGCAUACAAAGAUCUCACUUAAAUGUAGAAUCUAAAAAAGUUGAUCUCAUAGAAGCAGAGAGUACAAAGAUGGUGAUCAGGGGUUGGGGGUGGGGAAGUUGGGGAGAUGUUGGUCAAAGGGUAUGAAAUUUCAGUUAGGAGGAAUAAGGUCAAGAGAUUACUGUACAACACAGUGACUAUAGCUAAUAAUAACAUAUUGUAUUCUUGAAAAUCUCUAACAGAGUAGAUUUUAAGUAUUGUCCCCUCAAAAAAUGGUAACUAUGUGAGGUAAUACGCAUGUUAAUUUGCUUGAUUUAGCCAUUCUAUGAUCUAUACGUAUUUCAAAAUAUGCUGUACACAAUAAAUAAGUACAAUUUUUGUCAAUUAAAAAUAAUUAAUCAAUUUAGGAAAUUCAACAAUUGUUUGUAUUUGAUUUGUUUUAAUGUUUUUUGUCUUCUCUGCAUAUAUACAUUUACAUAUGUAUGUGUGUACCAAGGAUAGAAAGAAACUAUAUGUACACACAUUUAUACAAAUAUAAUAUUUGUGUACCAAUGCAUGUAUAAACAUAUGUGCAUACAUAUAUAAACACAUAUGUAUAGGCUUAAAGAUUUUUGAAAAUCUGUAAGUUUGUAACCUUAAAGUCUUUAAGCCUAUAUGUCUGUGGAUAUAUAUGUACACACAAAAAUAGGAUGAAAUGUAUGUAUUACAUAUAUGCAUAUGUUUAUAUAUAUCUUAGGAUUUUUAAGAGAAGCAGAACCGAUAGAAUAUAUAUAGAUAUACAAGAGAAGUUUGAUUAUGAGAAUUGGCCCAUGCAAUUAUAGAGGCCAAGAAGUCUUACAUGAUAAAUUGUAUUUCAUAAUUUAAAGCUUUUUCUCAUUAAAGGCGCUAUUAAUAAAAGGAAAUAAAAGCCACGAAUGGGAGAAAAUAUUUGCAAAAGAGUAUAGGUGAUAAUAAACUUGUAUCUACAAUAAGCAAAGAACAUGAAAUUCUUGCAAAUCAAUAAUAGAAGACAAAACACACAAUUAAAAAAAUAGGUUAAAGAUUUGGACAGACACUUCACCAAAAAGGAUGCAGGAAUGGCAAAUAAGUGAAUAAAAAGUUUUCUCAGUAUUUUCAGUCAUUAGGAAAAUCAUUAUUAUUCCUAUGCCAGCUUUAGUAAGAUAAACUUCAUGUGCUAUAUAAUUCACCUAAAUUUUACAGUUUAGUGGUUUUUAGUAUACUCACUGGGUCGUGCAACCAUCACCACAGUCUAUUUGGCAACAUUUUUACCACCUCAAAAAGCAAGCCUGUACUGUUUAGCUACUAUUUCUGUUCUCCCAACCUCUCCAGACAGAAGUCAUCAUUCGCCUAUUUUCUGUCUCUAUUGAUUUGCCUAUUCUAAAUAUGUCAUAUAAUACAUAAUAUAAUAUGUGGUCUUUUGUUAGUGGCUUAUCUCACUUGGCGUGAUGUUUUCAGGGUUCAUCCAUGUUGUAGCAAAUUACCCCCAUUGUAUAGAUAUGCCACCUUUUAUUUACCAGUUAAUCAGUUGGUGAACAUUUGGGUUGUUUCCACCAUUUGGCUGUUAUGAAUAAUGUGGUUAUGAACAGUUGUGUACAAGUGUUUGUGUAGACAUAUGUUAUUUUCUCUUGAAUAUACACAUAAAAGUGGGAAUGCUUGGUCAUAGCGUAAUUCUAUGUUUACUAUUUGAGAAAUUACCAGAGUAUUUUUCUAAGUGUCUACAUCAUUUUACAUUCAGGCCCACAAAGUAAAACACUUCUGAUAUUCCACAUACUCAACAUUUGUAAUCAUCUGUCUUUUUUUGUGCAGAACGUGCAGGUUUGUUACAUAGGUAUACACACGUCAUGGUGGUUUGCUGCACCCAUCAACCUGUCAUCUACAUUAGGUAUUUCUCCUAAUGCUAUCCUCCCCUUAGCCCUCCACUCCCUGACAGGCCCUCGUGUGUGAUGUUCCUCUCCAUGUGUUCAGGUGUGCUCAUCGUUCAACUCCCACUUAUGAGUGAGAACAUGCAGUGUUUGGUUUUCUUUUCCCGUGUUAGUGUGCUGAGAAUGAUGGUUUCCAGCUUCAUCCAUAUCCCUGCAAAGGACAUGAACUCAUCCUUUUUCAUGGCUGCAUAGUAUUCCACGGUGUAUAUGUGCCACAUUUUCUUUAUCCAGUCUAUCAUUGAUGGGCAUUUAGGUUGGUUCCAAAUCUUUGCUAUUGUGAAUAGUGCUGGAAUAAACAUACGUGUGCAUGUGUCUUUAUAGUAGAAUGAUUUAUAAUCCUUUGGGUAUACACCUAGUGAUGGGAUUCCUGGACCAGACGGAUUCAUAGAUGAAUUCUACCAGACAUACAAAGAGGAGCUGGUACCAUUUCUUCUGAAACUAAUCCAAACAAUAGAAAAAGAGGAAAUCCUUCCUAACUCAUUUUAUGAGGACAGCAUCAUCCUGAUACCAAAACCCGGCAGAGACACAACAUAAAACAAAAUUUCAGGCCAAUAUCCCUGAUGAACAUCGAUGUGAAAAUCCUCAAUAAAAUACUGGCAAAUGGAAUCCAGCAGCACAUCAAAAUCCUUAUCGACCACAAUCAAGUUGGCUUCAUACCUGGGAUGCAAAGCUGGUUCAACAGACACAUAUCAAUAAACAUAAUCCAUCACAUAAACAGAACCAAUAACAAAAACCACAUGAUUAUCUCAACAGACACAGAAAAGGCCUUCGAUAAAAUUCAACAUCUUUUCACGCUAAAAAACUCUCAAACUAGGUAUUGAUGGAAUGUAUUUCAAAACAAUAAGAGCUAUUUAUGACAAACUCACAGCCAAUAUCAUACUGAAUGGGCAAAAGCUGGGAGCAUUCCCUUUGAAAACCGGCACAAGACAAGGAUACCCUCUCUCACCACUCCUAUUCAACAUAGUAUUGGAAGUUCUGGUUAGGGCAAUCAGGGAAGACAAAGAAAUAAAGCGUAUUCAAAUAGGAAGAGAGGAAGUCAAAUCAUCUCUGUUUGCAGAUGACAUGACUGGAUAUUCAGAAAACUCCAUUGUCUCAGCCCAAAAUCUUCUUAAGCUGGUAAGAAACUUCAGCAAAGACUCAGGAUACAAAAUCAAUGUGCAAAAAUCACAAGCAUUUUUAUACACCAAUAAUAGACAAACAGAGAGCCAAACCAUGAAUGAACUCCCAUUCACAAUUGCUACCAAGUAUAAAAUAUCUAAAAAUAUAACUUAUAAGGGAUAUGAAGGACCUCUUCAAGGAGAACUACAAACCACUGCUCAAGGAAAUAAGAGAGGACACAAAUGGAAAAACAAUCCAUGCUCAUGGAUAGGAAAAAUCAAUAUCAUGAAAAUGGACAAAGUAAUUUAUAGAUUCAAUGGCAUUCCCAUCAAGCUACCAUUGACUUUCUUCACAGAAUUAGAAAAAACUACUUUAAAUUUCAUAUGGAAUCAAAAAGAGCUCAUAUAGUCAAGAUAACCCUAAGCAAAAAGAAGAAAGCUGGAGGCAUCAUUCCACAUGACUUCAAACUAUACUACAAAGCUACAGUAACCAAAACAGCAUGAUAUUGGUACCAAAACAGCAUGGUAUUGGUACCAAAACAUCUAUAUAGACAAGUGGAACAGAACAGUGCCUCAUAAAUAAUGCCAUACAUGUACAACCAUCUGAUCUUUCAUAAACCUGACAAAAACAAGCAAUGGAGAAAGGAUUCCCUAUUUAAUAAAUGGUGUUGGGAAAAUUGGCUAGCCAUAUGCAGGAAACAGAAACUGGACCCCUUCCUUACACCUUAUACAAAAAUUCUCAAGAUGAAUUAAAGACUUAAAUGUAAGACCUAAAACAGUAAAAACCCUGGAAGAAAACCUAGGCAAUACCAUUCAGGACAUAGGCAUGGGCAAAGACUUCAUGACUAAAACACCAAAAGCAAGGGCAACAAAAGCCAAAACUGACAAAUGGGUUCUAAUUAAACUAAAGAGCUUCUGCACAGCAAAAGAAACUGUCAUCAGUGAACAGGCAACCUACAGAAUGAGAGAAAAUGUUUGCAAUCUAUCUAUCUGACAAGGUCUAAUAUCCAGAAUCUACAAGGAACAUAAACAAAUUUACAAGAAACAAACAAACAACCCCAUUGAAAAAUGGGUGAAGGAUACGAACAGACACUUUUCAAAAGAAGAUAUUUAUGAAGCCAACAAACAUAUGAAAAAAGCUCAUCAUCACUGGUCAUUGGAGAAAUGCAAAUCAAAACCACGAUGAGAUGCCAUCUCACAUCAGUUAGAACGGCAAUCAAUAAAAAGUCAGGAAACAACAGAUGCUGGCAAGGAUGUGGAGAAAUCAGAAUGCUUUUACGCUGUUGGUGGGAGUGUAAAUUAGUUCAACCACAGUGGAAGACAGUGUGGCGUUUCCUCAAGGAUCUAGAACCAGAAAUAUCACGUCUUUUUGAUUGUCAUUAUCGUAGUGCUAGUGAAGUGAUGUUUCAUUGAUGUCUUGAUUUGCAUUUACAUUCAUAAGAAUUCUUUAUAUAUCCUAGAUACAAGUCCCUCAUCAGAUAUAUGAUUUAUAAAUAUUUUCUCCUAUAUUGAUGGUUAUGUUUUCAAGUUUUUGAUAGUAUCACUUGAAGAAAAAUGUUUUAAAUUUUUAUGGUCAUUUAUCUGUUUUGUAAUUGCUGUUGUUUAUACAUUGAUGUCAUGUCUAAAAAUACAUUUCCAAAUUUGAAGUCAUGCAGAUUUAACCCUAUGCUUUCUUCUAAGAGUAUUAUCUCUUACAUUUAAGCUUUUAUUGAAUUUUUAGCUGAGUUUUAUAUAUUGCAUAAAUUAAAGGUCCAACUUCAUUCUUUUGCACAUGGAUAUCCAGUUGUCCUAGUACCAUUUGUUGAAAAAGUCACAAAUUAUUAAUAUACAUAAUAAUAAGUAGAUGUGGUUUGCUAACAUUUUCUUAUGAAUUUUUGCAUCUACAACCUUGAAGGAUACUGUCCAUAAUUUUCUUUUCUUAGAAUAUCUCCUCAAUGUUUUGAUAUCACAGCAAUACUGACCUCUUAAAAUGAGUAGGAAAAUGUUUCUCUAUGUUUUUAAAAUAGUUUGUGAAGAAUUGGUAUUAUUGAUUUCUUCCCAGGAAUAUUCAACAAGAAACCUCUCUGGUCCUGAAAAUUUCAGAAUGAGAAUGUUUAUCAUUAUGAAUUCAGUUGCUUAACAGAUAUUUAGCUAUUCAUAUUUCUCUAUUCAUUAGUGAGUCUGAAAAGUUUGUAUCUAUCUAGAAUUUGCCUGUUUUCUUUAAGCUGUUGAAUUAAAUGGAAUAAAGUUGUUCACAAUA